GCUCCGGGCGCAUGCGCACAGCGGAAGACGAAGCAAGGGUCGCGCGGGAGGGCGGGCGCGUGGCGGCGCGGUGGGCGGGGCCUGGGCCGCGUGGCUCCCGCCACUUGUCCGCGGGGGCUUCUGGCACCUUCCAGGGGCGAGGGAAGGAGCCGGCGGGCGGCUGCUCGCCGCUGUGCGUGCGCUUGGAUUCUAAAAACGGUCAGAAAGAGCCGAGAGAACAGAGAGGUGGAGGCGUCUCAAGUGGCGAACCCCUCGGGCUGGAGGAGGGCCGGCCCGUGGAGCUGAGGGGGAGCAGCUGGAUCCUGCGUGUGCUGUGGGAUGCUGGAAUCCUACGGGUGUGUCUAAGAUGAGGGUGUUACCAAAGGGAUCGCCACGGGAAAAGAGGAAGGUGGCCCAGAUGUCUCCCCAGGAGGCUGGCAGCAUUGUGGUGCUUGAAGAAGAUGUGUUGAAAUCCAUACAUUGUGGACUUCUUAGAGUUUAAAUAAUGAAUUUCAGACAUGGCCGCCACCUCAGUCUCCUUGGUGAGGACAAGGAAGGGCUCUUAGCCGCAUGUAGUAAUGUCCUGUGAUCAAAAGGCAGUGCUCGCAAGAAGUGAACUGUUUGCAUUAACUAUAGGCAUUAAAACUAAGGAUUUCCCUGUCUGGCAUUUCUAUGCCAUGCUGGAGCUGGUCUAAGGGUGUUCCUGUCAUGGCCUUGCAGAGCAGUGCUCAUUGGAAGCGCCAGCACGAAGCAAGAGGAAAAAACACCAGAGCGCCUUGACAUGACCAGAGGUUGUAGACUGCUGACAACCUGUCCAACAAGUCCUGUGAUGCUGCCGAGGUGACGCAAUGGAACCGACCACAAGCUGUGGGGAGGACAGACUCAUUCCAGCAGUGCCUUGUUCUUGGAGUACAUGAACUGCGUUCUUUCUGGAUGAAAUUAAUGGGAAGAUGUACUCCAGGAAUGCACCAGGAGGGCACUGCAGCCACAAUUGGAGCCUCAGUUGCUGGAAUCACACUAGAGGAAAAAAAUCUUCAUCUUCUGCAGCAAAUCCUGGGCAUCCCAAGCAACUAACAUUUACUACAGCUGACCUUCCCACCCUGCCACCUCCCUUUAAGAUACCCUUCAUGGAGUUGUGAUGUUUGGCAUGAGAGAGAGAUGUGGUGAUUUAUGCAGCAGAAGACUAAAGAAAUCUGGAAAGUCUUCCAAUUAUUUCCAAACACCCAUCUCUGUCAGUCCAUAUAUUGUAAUCACUGCUACUUUCUUCAGCAUUGUUGGUAGAAGAUAAUCUUUUACCUGUGCCUUCCUGCAAAUGUAAGGAGCAGACUUCUGCCAGCAGGAAUUUCAGACAGGAAAAGUAUCACAGUUCCACAGGAGAACAUGAAGAUGAGCAAGUCUGUUCUCAUAGAAAUAUGUGUUUGCAUAAGUGUUGACAUCAGAAAAGUCUACACAGCUUUCUCGAAGAGCACCUCAUGGAUUUGGGAGUUAUUCAGCCAGGAAGAAGAAAUGUGCCGUGAAAAGUAGGUAACCAGUCACACCAAGAGAGCGGCAGAUGGUGCAUCCAUGAAGCAAUUCUCACCGCCAAGAGCCUGGCAUGUUCUGCAGGCUGGAAUGGAUCUGCCUCAUUAAUGAAGCAAGCACUUGGGUAGGGAAUGUCGAUGGAAAUCUAUAUAUGCUUGUGAAUAAGUUGUAAAUGGACUGCAAGGUUCAUACUUGGGAUGCAAAGAAGAUGGGAAGAGGAUGGUAAGAAGAGCCACCUUCCUAAUUCUGCUUUUUUUUUGCUGGUCUCAGUCCUGGCAGACAAUCCUGGGCAGCUCAAAGCAGGUUUUGACCCCAAGGCACAGGGCAUUAGGAAUGGUGACCCAGGUCAGGCCCACCUAAAGCUGGCACAUGUCUACAGUUGCAGGAAUGUAAAACAGAACUCUCAUUAUUGCAUGAAAUUAAAAAAAAGUGGACUCCUAUUCACAUCAGCUCCUUCAAAGCCUUAUUUGUGUGCUUUAGCAAGGAAAUAUUCAGAUGAAUGUCAGACAGAUUCCUGGGAUGGCUAUUACAUUCCCCCUGUCAUGGGAUCAGAAGAGUCUGUGUAGUUGCCUUUGGCCCUGAGACAAAAAACCUUGUGGCAUGGAAUCAAGAAAAGGAGGAGAGAAUAACAAGUAGAAGGAAGAAAUGACUUGGCCAAGCCAGAAAACGUGAAGUUGGAGCCAAACCAGAGCCAGCUCUGAGGCACAACUGGGACAGUGAAAAGCCCCGGGACAGCUGGUCUGGUGCUCACUGUGGGUGGGUGGGUGUGCAGCAGUGCUGGACCAGGGAAGCUUGUGCCCUUCCUCCAGCUCCUCCAGCUCCAUCCACCCUUGCUCAGGGCAGCCAAAAUGGGAAAAGAAACAUGCUGGAAAUUUUAUGGAGGUAUUUAAUUGAAUUUGAAUGACGCUGACAAGUGAUGGGGUGCCAGGGCUUUCAUUGACAUUUGAAGUGAAGAGCAGGUACUUGGUUUUGGGAUGUGGUUGACUUCUCCAGUCUUGACAAAGAGCAGGGAGGCCUCUGAGGAGGCAGCUCACUGCGCUUGGUGGGUGAGCUGGUAAGGGGAAGCUCUGGUGCAAUCCUGCUCACUGUGAAAAGCAACGCUACCAGAUAGGGAAGAUUUAGAUAACAUCACAACUCACCAUAGCAUUCUCCAGCUUCUCCCUCCCAGACAACAACAACAACAAAAGCCUUCCAGAGAUUGGGGAUUUAUUGGGGAAUUAUGUAUUCCCAUGCUUACUGUUUUUUAAGGGCCUGGUCCAAAGCUCUUGGAAGUCUUUCAGUUGACUGCAAUGAUGCACAUGACUGGAAUGAACUCCAGCUCGCAGUGUCUUUUAUAUGGCUUUUACCAAGAACUUCAUAAUAAUGUGUUGAUGCCUCAUAGCAUCCCUCUGACAUUGGGCUUCACAAGGAAAAUGCUCUCCCAGCUCAUUUGUUUUGAUGACUAGCUUACAUUGUUUUUCAUGCCAAAAAGGGAAGAAGCUAUCUGCAAAUCCAAGUUCUGUGGGCUCCCUAUAAGGCUAUUAAAAAAAGCCAGAAAACAAAAAAACCAAACCAAACACAACAGUUCUGGAAAACCAGUCCUCUUAUUCCUCCCACAACAAACCUGCAAGACCAUUUCUCUGCCAGUCUUUAAUCAUCCCUGGUGGAUUACAUGCAGGCAAGGCCAGCCUCAACAUAGAAAGACAAAAUGGGGAAAUGAGGCUGAGGUGGGUGUCACAACAGUGGGCAGGAGUGGAAGGCAGUCUGAGGAUGUGCUGGCACCAGAAAGACCAGCAGAAGACCAUGAAAUUGGCCUCAGCAUUGGACAGUGACAUGUUCUGAUAGGAAUUAGGGUGGUGCAAAAAUAAAUGUCACAUGGAAUAACUGGGCUAGACAUCUAAAAAAUACCCAUUCUGAUCUGAGUAACAACCUCAGUACUCAUCAUUAUGAGGUUUGUGUUUUGUGGCGUAAGAUCUUACUGGCUGGCAGAACUGAGAUGGAGGGACACUCAGGAAAACCACUUGCCCUUACUAAGUGCCUGAGGCUGCCGGAGUCUGAGGAAUCAUUAUUACCAUUUCUCUGUGACCGAGCUAUUGCAGUUCUUGAUCAAUAGAGAUUAUGGUUUCAAAUCCUGACCGUUUAUUUAGACCUAAAACUAGGCCAGGAAAUGCCAAGCUAAAUAGGUAAGUGUUCUGUGUAAGUCUUCUCACAAGGGCAAAUGAGAAGGAGAAAAAUGUUUUUCUAUAGUACGCAAGGUCUCUUUCACUCCUACCUGAAUUCCUCCUGCAGGCAUAAGUCUUCCAAGUGAUACUGAAUUUUUCCUGUUGCUGUAUAUUCCCAAAUUCAAAUUUGUCCAAACUGAAUCAUAGGAAGAGAAAACUUUAGCAGCGCAAUGGCUAGAACAAGCUGCAGAGAGAGGAUCCUGCUGGAGGUUGCCAUUCAUGUUGGAUUGUGUACCUGCAGGAAAAUAAGAGUGCUCUCAUAUCACGACCUGCCCUCAGGUAUGAGUUGGGGGGGAGAAGUGACUCAGGUUUGUGGGUCCCCUUUGGUUGGAAAACAGUACACACAGUACUUAAGGUCCACAAACAAAAGGCUUUUAUUUUGCAGCUUGGCCCAAACAGUAUAUGAUUCGGUGGCAGAAGGAUUUACAUUAUUGUGGGUUCGAUUGGUAAACAUAAAAAGUUUGCGGCACACGCAGGGCUGUAAAUCUUAUGUUACUAUGUUACAUAUAAAAGGGAAAGCAAAACGGCAGAAGUAUGAGAAAGAAAAGAGAAAGAUUUCACCAUCUUUGUGGCUCCGCUUUAUGUGUGAUGGAGUUUGCAGUCUCAAAUCCAGCGAUGUGCGGUGUCCUCUGGUGUCUUGUUCAGUUCAUGUGGUGAGACCGGUGGGCAGAGCAGUCCUCGGGAUGGUGGGUGGGCACCGCCAGUGCUUGCACAAGGUGGGCCUUUAUAGCCCUCUGGGUUGCCCGCUUGCGUAACUUUUGGUCUUUUGUGGAGGUGUUGUUGUGAAAGAGAGAUAAGUCUGUGGGGAAGUGGAGGUUGUGAAAUAUUGACAAGUCUCAGGCCAUGUUGAAGGGUCUCAGCUUUUCCCAUUGUGCCAUGCUGGGUGUAUCAGAAGGUGGAGCUGUGUGCCCUCUGGCACAUCCCCCACCUCCUGUAUUGGCCAGCUGGCCUGGUCUGUGGCUCCUUAGCUUGUCACUGAUACAUAAGCCACAAUUCACCCUAUACUAAAUGUGUCUUCUCCUGUGGCUGGAUGAACUGGCUUUGCUACAAUGUUUCAGCCAUUAUCCUUAUCAGUACAUGACGUCUCCCCGUGCAGACAGUUCCAUAGUCAUUCAAAAGCAAAAAGGUUUCUUCUUAACCUAUGUGGCCUGAUGAGGUAAAGUCCUUUUCAAGAUGACAACCGAAGUUGAUAGGAUUUGUAAAAUCAUGUUCUCUCGUAGCCUUUAGUGCAAUCUGCCGCUUUGGACAAGGAACUACAAAUGGCUGAUUCAGUUUAAAGAUGGCAUUUAUUCUGUGCAGGCAUCUGAAAGAUGACGUGUCCCUUUUCUUACAUCCUCACCCUCUGCUUGGCCUUCACUGGCAAAAAUAAGAAUUUCAAGGCUCAAGAUCUAAAUAUGACUCCAGUUUCUAUGCUGACAAGAUUUUUUAUUCCCAGUGGGGUGAUAAGAAAGAUCCUUUAUAAAUUGUCUUUGUGAACAGAAGAGUAUAUGUGCUGCUAGAUGCUUUAUUUUUCGGUAUCAGAAAAGGCAAUGCUGAAGGACCUGGGGGAUUUCAGGAUUUCUGUGUCUCAAUAUAAUAGACUUGUAGUAGCGUGCACUUUUGGUAGACCCAGGCUGCAAGUCAGUGCAAUAUACAUGAUAUACAACCAUCACUCGCUCCUGGAAUUGCCCUUUGAUGUGUUAGCAGACCUGUGACCCUUCUGAAAACAUUCAUUUGCACAGCAACUGCUGGCAGAGAUAGCUGAGAGGAAGGGUUGAAAUGAACAUCAUUUGCAUUACACAUGAUCAGUCUUUUAACCAGGAAGUUUCAUGCUAAAUUUUAAGAAGAUAGUGUGCAUGUGCCUGCAUUUGGGUCCCAAAAAAACCCCCACCACCAAGAGGUCUGUCAAAUAACUUUAAAAUCAUAGGCUUUUUCCAAAUGUAUUUCCAAGAAUGGCAUCCAGUCUCCAGCAUGGAGCAUGCUGCUGCAGCAAUCAUUUAAAAUUCUGCUAAAUCAUUCUGUGACUCUCUAACCAGUACUAAUAGCUUUUAGGCUGGCUGGCAAUCUCACUUCAAUAGGAAGCCUUGCACAGGCUUCUAGACCAUUUAUGUGUGCGGGUGAGUGAGAGAGAGCACUACAGAUUUAAUUUAGUGCCCUUGGUGGCUUUCAGUAGAAUAUAUAUAUAUUAAUCACUUGUGACUUCUGGUUUGGGGGGUGGGGGUUCAUCUGGAGUACAGGAAAAUCAAAUUAAACUCAUAAAGAUGAAAGUUGUCUUGAUUUCAUUUGCUGAUUUUAAACAGCAAAUUGUUUCUUACCCAUCCUUGCAUGAUAAUUGGUAAAUGUACUGAAAUGGGCUGAGUUUCAGAAGGCUCUCUGGGUAAUCACACACAAUAACUGGAGUUCAGAAUGUGCACUGUAGGUACAAUUGCUAAUCACGUUGCUCAGAUAAUUUCUGUCUGUGAGAAACACAUUGUAUUUUGAAGCUGGGAUCUCACAACGAGGAGGCAGAACCAUCUUUAGCUGUGUCUGGCAUGGGGACCCCAAGCAGACGAGAUGCUGUAGCGCAGCUCUGAAAAUGUGAGCCAUUGACUCAGCUGCAGGGAGCAAGGAAUAGGAGGAAAUUGUGUGAGAUGCAUGAGACACAGUAGGUCUGUAGGCAACAUUACUCUGCAGAUGAGAGUCACUUCAUCAGACAUUAGGCUUUGGAUAUUGCACUUUAAUUUGGUUGAGUAGUGUCUCUGUGUUGCCCUCGGAGGGCAAUUUUUCCUAUCUGAGGCUAGGGAAUUGCAUUUCCAGAACAUGAGUUGUCUCCUUAUAUAUGGAUAACUCACCUUCUGUAGUGUCUUUGAGAUGGAUGGAGCCUGGCUUAGACGGAACACCCAGGUGAUCACAGCCAGGAUCAGAAGUGUCAUGCCAGGGGCUGAGUUUGAUCCAAGAGGCUACAGGGCAGAAGGAUUUGGUUAAAAGAAAAUAAAUCUGUCGUGGGGAUGAAGCUACAAGAGUUGUUGCUGGUGCAGCUGAGAGCAGACCAUGCCCAUAGUCUGCAGAUUACAGCUGCAGGGGCACUUCAGUGAUUCUUUUUAACUCAUGUCUACAGGAAGCAAGAAAGAAUUGUGUUAAAUGGGUUAAAACAGUACAAUGGAGCUCAGGGACUUGUGGGGACUGGGAGUGUCCUGUGCUCAGAGUGGUGUUACUGAUACCUGCAGCUGGUGGCCAGAGCUGCCUGGGCAGCACUGCUGGCAAAGGGGCAUCUGCCCUUCUGUCGUCCUAACCCGGCAACACAGUGCUGUGUUUGAGCAGUUCUGCUGAAAAUAAGGGAAAAAACAAUCACCCAGCCACAGCUGGUGCCUCUCUCCUCCUCUCUCACAUAGCUGCUGUUACCAUGGCAGCAGUCAUGCUGCUGGAGGAUGCUCUGGAGGGCCUCCUCCUCCACCUCCUCCUCCUCCUCCUCCUCCUCCUCCUCUUUCUCCCCUUGCCUGCUGUUAUCGCUGCCCCAUGAGCAUCAGGCGGCUCCCAUGGAGGAAUAGGUGAUAGGUUGCUUCAGUGCCUUUCCUGGGGAGCACUUGGUCUCCCCUCACCCGGGAGCCUCUCCAGUGUCAUGGCCGUUUUGUUGACAGUUGGCAGCACUGCACAACAGUGGCACAGUGUCCGGGUCUUACUGCUUUAGGGAUGGAGUUACAUUCCAAACUCUUGGUCCGGUCCUGUGCAUGCCAUUACUAAAAAGGUUCUUGCACUUGGCAUGUGUAAGAGCAUUUUGCAGGGUGACAGAAUUUCUUCGACCCUUUCAGCUGCAGAGAACAAGUUUUCUAUUCCUGUCAGUGUGACCAUGUUGAAAGCUGCCUGCCUGCCUUUGCCCAUUUUUGUGCCUUCAUCAGACAGCUGGAAUCAGUAAGGGUUGUACACUAAAUUCUUCCAGUUCUUCCUCAAUUCUUGUUUGAGUUGCUGAGCUGUACUAGUGAAUUUGGGAGCCCUGACAACUCUCAGACACCAACAGGUGCAUACAGGAAAUAUUUUGAGUGGAUCUUGUUCACAAAAUUCAGAGUAUGUGGGUUGGAUGGAUCUUGUGGACCAGCCAACCCAUGCCUUGCUGAUGUUAAGCAAGGUAAAACAAAGUAUGUUUAAGCUGUUUCUGCAAUUCACUUCCAACUUUUCUCCUUUUCACUUCUCUUCUAACUUCUUUUCACUUCUUUUCUAGCUAGCUGAAGGUCUGUAUCAGACCUAAGUAUAAAUUAAAAGGAGGCUUAUGGUUGUGUCUGCCCAGGGCCUUGUGGGGUUGUUGUGGCAGCCAAACAUCCUGGUGUAGCUGUUGUUGUCUUACUCCUAAUGCUAUGGGUGGUUCUCAUGCAUAGGGGAUGAGAAAAGGAUGACCUUAAAGUCCUGAUGGCAGCUGUACAGCAAUAGAAGAUUUCUCCAUACAGGAGAAAUUCUCAGACUUCUUGUCUUCUUGUUCAGCUGUAUUUGUUCCCUCUCUGCCUCCAUGGAAAUUUUCAGCUUUGAUUGAAAGAGAAUAAUUAUAGAAGUUGACAUUAUAAACUUCGACUUGAUUUAAAAUAAAGAAAAAAAUAAUAAAAACUUUGAAAAAUAUUUUCCUGUUUGCAUCUAGACUAAAGCUAGACUGUCCAUUCUCUGGGAAAUUCAGACCAAAAAAAUCUCUCAAAGAACUUAUGAAAUUCCUCUCAGCAGGGAUUUUCUUAAAGGAAACAAUUAUAAAACUAUCAAAAAUGUUUCAGUUCAAGGCUUUCAGAAGGAAACAUCACGGGGGGAGUUCAAGCUCUGAUAUCCACAAGGCACCUCUUCCCCUGCUUCCUACUGGGGGAUCUGGUUCUGCCCUUGGACUCUGGCAGCCCUGAGAGUCCUGGUUGAUGACCUGCAGUCGUGAGGGCUUUGGAGCUCAUGGUCCCCAUUUGGGAAACCUGAAGCUUUUUCAGACCCCAGGGUUUUGAUGAUUUCUAAGUUCAGCAGAGAGAGGAGAGGAGGGGGUGAGCUGGCAGGAAAGCAGACGGUGCUCUGCUGGAGCCCCUGCAAGGUGAUUGAAAAUCACCAUCCCUUUUCUUGAACAGGCAAUUUUCAAGGGAAAAUUUGUUUUGUCAGAAUUUUUCUGCCCAGCUCUUCCCUGUGGGCUUUUAGUGCCAGUUCUCCAUGCCCUUACCCUUGCCCAAGGGCCUGGGAGCGCCAAGGACAGCAGGGUCUCCAGUCUGGGGGACCCACUGCAUCGCAGAAGCCCAGGAAGGGGAUCUUUCAGGCAGAAAUGGGGCAAGCAGCUGAGAGCUUCCUAAUGGGAUGUGGGAGCCUGGGGUUACAGGAUACUCAUCCUGCAGCCACCAGGAGUCACUGCACCAACAUUGCAAACAUAAUUUCGGGUACUGGACAGGGAUGUUGCUCAAAGGUUCCAUUUUUUUGAAUGGCAAAAACUUUUCAGUUCUGGAGUAAUUGGUGUGUUUGGUUGUUGUUGUUUUGGGGUUUUUGUUGGGUUUUGUUUGUUUGAUUGGUUUUGGUGUGGGUGUUUGUGUUGUUGUUGGUUGGUUGGUUAAUGUUGUUUGUUCUUUUUUUUUCCAAACCCAUACUUUUCUCAGGGGAAGGGAGAUAUUUUUCGUGAGUAUUUUUGUGGAGCUGAGAACUGGAUUGUCACAAAGAAAAUCAAAACUUUUUGGAUUAAAAUCGUGUUAAAAUGACCAUGUGGAGGUGGAUUGAAUAUAGCUUUUUCAAAACAGACAGUGAAUCUUUAAAGAAAACCUUUGCGUUUCCCACAGUCAAGGUUGUAUCUCAAAAAAUAUUAUCUCAUAUUGAGUCUUAAUAGGAUUUGUAUGUUAUCUGGAGCGGUAUUUCUGCUGCCAUCUUCAAACUAUGAUAAACCAUAUUGGCACAAGCCAUACUUGGCAUUAACACUUUUGUUGUUGUUGUUGUUUUGUACUGGGCACUCCAUUAGUGCUGCUACAUCAAUUUAAUAAAUAACGCACUGCAAGCAAGUAGUCAUUUAAUUGGAAACCCAGAAAUAUUCAGAGAUGGCUUAAACCAGAAGGUUUUAUUGCUGCUGCUGACAGUGUCAUCUUUAAAAGGAAAGAGAGACAACAUAAUGAAAUGCCUGUGAUCAGUUAGUGUUGUGCCGAAGUCCUCAUGAUAGGGUUUAAACCUCACUGUUAUCCAGAAAAUCUCCUGGCAGUUCCACUUUAUGUUGUUGUGCACAUCAGGCUGCAAUGCUGUUAGGGAGUGUUUUUACUCCAGAAAUUGAAAGGAUGAUAGUGACCCAAAUGCUACUGAUAUAUUCCAUGUCUCUGUCAGACCGGAAUUAUUGAAGGAAUUAUUUUAAAUGUUUCUAAUGUACUCCAUGUUCUGUGGAUGGGAAGUGUUGGAAAGUAUUUUUACAACUAAUACGUCCUAAAGCACAUGUUCUCUCCUGUCGACAUGACACCAACACUUUUGUGGUGCACAUGAGAAAAAUCAACAGCUUUAUUAAAAAUAUGCUGAUCCUGGGAACUGCUAACCUAUAUGGCAGGCUAGAUAUAAAUUAAAUUCAUCAAUCGUACAAAUUAGCCAUCUUAUGGGUAAUAUUAAAAUGAGCAGGAUACUAGCCAAAUUAAAAAAUAAUCAAUUUCAAGUGAUGUUUAUAAUUCUGAAGCAGAAGUGCUGGUAACAUUAUCAUUAUUAUUAGAAUGCUUCCUGCAGUAAUUCUGCUCUGGAGGGGCAAAAGGGGGAAGCAGUCUAGCAUAUUAUAGAUAGUUUAGGAAUUUCCUGCUCCUUUAUCAGCCAUCUUGAACUGCAAAUUUAGAUCUGUCUGGGGAAAAAGACUGAAAUAGGUCAGAUCAACUGGGAAUCGGGAAAAAGGAAAAGACUCAGCAGCCUAGCAAAAGGAAAAUCAUCACCUUAAGGAAAAGAAACCUACUCAUAAAGUCAUAGCUAAGGCAAGAGUGCUUAUGCACAAGUGUGGAAGCAGAGGUCUCAGAAGAAUUACCUAAGGGUGAAGGAAAUAAGCAUGUGAGGUAUUAACCUUAAGUACUCCCUUCUCGACGAGCCUUUCAAGCAGUCACAUUUUAAAAUAACAAUUGAAAAACCAUGGCUCAUAAAAAUUAGCCCUCCUGCUUGUGAACAUGAUGUUAAGACCUAAUAGAUUUAUUUUGUUUGCUAAGCUUUGUUGUAUUAAUUGGUUGCUAAUAGUCUGCUAAAGUAAAUAAUAAGCUACUUGAUGAGAAUAAUGUAUAUUUUCAGACCUGUAGACCAUUAAACAUGAUUUAGUCACUAAGACCAAGCCAACCAAGGUAGAUUACAUUGGGGUAUUGAACAUUUGGGUGUUUGACACCAAAGCCUGGGCUGCAGGUAACAGCAUUACUUAGCAUAAUAAAUAAGCCUUUUGCAGGGAUCCAGCCUGAUAUCUCAUAAGGUCUAAUGGUGAUAGGGUGGGAGAUCAGGGAACUAAGGGAAAAGUGGGAGCUAGUACAAUGUUUAAUUUCUCACCUGAAAUGUCUCACUCUAGUGAUGCUGAACAACAUGGGACAUGGCAAAAGUUCUAUUCUGAGCCCCUGAACUGUGAUUUAGAUUUUAGACAUUACCAUUAAUUAUUGAAACUCAGAAGGCUGCAAAAACAUCUUGAUUCAUUGGCAAAGUGACAAACAUAUGGUGUGUUUUGCAAACCUCUAGGUUUCUGUUCAGAGGAGGAGAACAUUAAUUGCAUACAAAUUCUACUGGGAGUUCUAAAACCAGCCAUCAUUAACAUUGUUAGAUAUCCUAUCUGGGAAGAUCAGUGCAUUUUAAAAUCUGAGUUAAAAAUUCAGAGCUUUUGUAAAAGUUUUGAGAAGGAAAGUACAGAAGUGUAAUGAACGCAAAGAAGAGCCUAAGUAUUGGUGCUCUUCGGUAUCUGAUGUUGGUGUAUCAACAGCUUUGCUUUGAUAGUCUGGAUGGUAGGUUAAUAUUUGUCUUGGUAGGUUAAUAUUUGUUAACACUUGAAAACUGGCAUCAGAAUCUGUUCUUGGUUGCCUGUGGCCUCUUACCAAUUCUGCUUUGGCUGUAUGAUUGCCAAUUUGACAUCUGAAAUCUUAUGAACGUCAAAACUUCAAGUCUAGAUUCACUGAACAGAGUUUAAUCAACAUUGGCAAUGGGCCUUAGAUGAAGGAGAUUGUGCUGUGAUUAUUAACACAACCCAGAAAGCCUCACCAGAGAAUGCUGCAGUGCGUUAUGUAGAAAAUAAAUUACUUUGUUUUUCAUCUGGGUUGUGGUAUGGUGGCUGUUCUUCACCUGAUGAAGAACCGUGCUGCCCAGCCACCUCUCUGGCUGAGGAUGGGCAUGUAGAUACAGCACUACAGAUAGACAGGGAGGGACAAGAUCGCGUGGGCUUUUUUGACCAAGGGCUGUAGGAUCAUCACACCUCAUGACCUACCCAGCAGGUUCACUGCUCUUGCAGUAAAGAAGCUUGUAGAGCACUCACCACAGGCCAUAACUGCAGGACAGUUAUUCUGUUGCAGCAUGACAAAAUCUGGGGUGAUCCGAGUUGCGAUGUCCCUGGUAUAAAGGAAGAUCCAGCUGGGACACAGUGCAGAAAAAUCCUGGGUCAUGCUGUGAUGCAAGGGACCUGUCCCAUUCACCAGGUCAUUCCUCCAUUCCGAUUCAUGUUAUUACUUUCCCACUUUUAAAUGCCUUCAAUGACUCCUCUCUUUCAGAAGGGUUAAAUUCCCCAUGGCUGAGCAACUUGUGCAUAGCCUUAGUGAUUCCCCUGUUACGGGCUAUCACUACUCUAUUCAAGCCUCAUAUUUCAGUGCCAAUAGUCAAACUCCAGAAGCAAAGCCAAUCUCAUUGUAUUUAUGCGUGCACCCUUGAGAAUGCUCUUCUGCAGCAGUGUUUGAAGCUGCGACUGCUGGGUGGAUUUCGUUGCUUUCAUCUUCCAUCUCACAUUCUUUAUGUGUGUAAAGCAGUUUAAAACUGAGCCCCAGUGUGCUUAUAAAAUGCCAGGUCAUUGACAAUAGUGGCACUCAUUUGCUGCGGUCAAUUUAGUACUAAUAAGCUGAAACUGUUCUGCAGGGAUUCUUCUACAUGGCACAUGAAAUCCUUUUCCCUCAGUUAAGGACACUUUCCUAUAAAAUGAUUGCAACCUAAUAGUUUUCCUCCUCAUUUUAGUAACCAGUCUCAGUCUAUAUUAGUGCUAUUUUCCCCAGCAGCUUUCUGUAUAAGCUCUAUUUCAAGGCACCGAAUCAAUGAUUACGUGGUAUGCAGUCCAUUGAACUGUCCAUCCUGGGAACCCAGCAUGUAAUACAGCCCCUAAUAUCCUAGUGCCACAGUAAAAGUAGAAUUUACUGCAGUAGGCUAAAUUCAAUGUUCAGGCUCCUUUGGUUUUUAGUUUUCUUUCUUUUCAUCCAUCUUAAAGCAGGUGGGACAUCUUCUCAGGUGCCUCUCAGAAAUGCUGAUUCUGCACAUGGAUUUUCUGACUCUCUGCAAAUGCAAUAGCAGAGGCAAAAUGGAGGUUUCACACCCUCCUAAAGUCAUUAUUCACUCAGCUCUGAAGACAGCACUCUGCAUAUAUUAGUCUCACUGAUCACUGCAUCUCUUCAUUUUUUCUUUGUCCUGUCCCUAUAUCCAGUUGCUUUCCUGAAUUCAGGCUCCUUUUGCUCUUUUCUACUUUUGCUUUCCCUGUGGUUCUGAUGCUUCAUAUUGAGCAAAUUAUUCUUCCAUCCAGAUUACUCUGAAUCUCUUUCAAGAAUGCCUUCUGUGCUUAUUCCUACACUGAUUUGCUGAAAUCUGUAAUAAAAUAAUCUCAGCAGAACUACAGACAAAACCCAGACACAUAUAAAUGAAUGCAAUUCAUUCCCUAUCUCCUUCUGGUACCCUCUUUGCACAAGGUUCUACUUCCUUCUCUGAGCAAGUCAUGUGGAUGGAAUAACUUCAUAUGUAUUGUUGAUACUAGAUGUACUUUCACUAACUACUGACCAGAUCUCUCUGAUUGUAUGUUGUGUAUAUGCGAAGUCACGAUUCAAUGGGGCUAGAACCUCUGUUUUAGUUGAAUUAUUAUUAAAAAUCCAGUGUAAAGCUUUCCAGCUAUGAAGGUACCUUGUCUGCUCUCUCUUUUACAGCAUAAGUGGGGUCUCUUGUCUACUUAUGCUCCAAGAAGAGAACUAUAUCAUUCCGUGAUAAAAUGACUCUAGUAAUUUUAUCCCCAAUAAAUUGACCGUGUGACAUCAUUAACUUCCCGCACAUUCUGUGUGGCCAUAAAUAACUGCCACUUCUACAUGGAAAAUCUUUCUGGCAGGCUAUGCAUUGCUAUGAAUUAAACAAAAACCCAACACACUAAUUUUAUAUUAAUUAAACUAGUAUUUUAAAAAUAA